rfam:Triticum aestivum genome assembly, contig: Triticum_aestivum_CS42_TGACv1_scaffold_374680_5AL
UGCAUACUCACUCUGUCCGAAAAAGUUUGUUUCUCAAAUGGAUGUAUCUAGAACGAAAUUAGUGCUAGAUACAUCCAUUUGAGAGACAAGCUUGGGACAAGAUUUUUCGGACGGAGGGAGUAUCAA